UAGCCUAGCUGUUAAGGCUAUGGAUCGCCAAUCCGGAGACGGCGGGUUCGAUUCCCGU
rnacentral:tRNA from 1 species